UGGGGAAUAUUGCACAAUGGGCGCAAGCCUGAUGCAGCCAUGCCGCGUGUAUGAAGAAGGCCUUCGGGUUGUAAAGUACUUUCAGCGAGGAGGAAGGCAUUGUGGUUAAUAACCGCAGUGAUUGACGUUACUCGCAGAAGAAGCACCGGCUAACUCCGUGCCAGCAGCCGCGGUAAUACGGAGGGUGCAAGCGUUAAUCGGAAUUACUGGGCGUAAAGCGCACGCAGGCGGUUUGUCAAGUCGGAUGUGAAAUCCCCGGGCUCAACCUGGGAACUGCACUCGAAACUGGCAAGCUAGAGUCUUGUAGAGGGGGGUAGAAUUCCAGGUGUAGCGGUGAAAUGCGUAGAGAUCUGGAGGAAUACCGGUGGCGAAGGCGGCCCCCUGGACAAAGACUGACGCUCAGGUGCGAAAGCGUGGGGAGCAAAC
rnacentral:rRNA from 1 species